AUUGAACGCUGGCGGCAGGCCUAACACAUGCAAGUCGAGCGAGCGGCGGACGGGUGAGUAAUGUAUGGGGACUGCCCGCGAGAGGGGGAUAACUACUGGAAACGGUGGCUAAUACCGCAUACUGGCGGAUAACACAUAUGGGGUUAGCUAGUAGGUAAGGUAAUGGCUUACAUAGGCGACAAUCCCUAGCUGGUCUGAGCGGGUGAUCAGCCACACGGGAACUGAGACACGGCCCAGACUCCUACGGAGGCAGCAGUGGGGAAUAUUGGACAAUGGGCGCAAGCCUGAUGCAGCCAUGCCGCGUGUAUGAAGAAGGCCCUAGGGUUGUAAAGUACUUUCAGGCGGGAGGCGUUACCUACAGAAGAAGCACCGGCUAACUCCGUGCCAGCAGCCGCGGUAAUUC
rnacentral:rRNA from 1 species